CGCCCGGUGACUGCGGACGGAUGAAUAGACGCUGCGGGUCACUGCGCUCUCCCCUGGGUGAGCAGAGCUUCUCACGCUUCUCACGGGUCUCGACGUGCGCAUCAGCUGCCCUGCUUUUCUUUGCUUUUUUUUUUUCCUUAAUUGCGGAGUCACAUGCAGUUGUAAGAAAUCAUUCACUUUGCCUAGUUUCCCCCAGUGUUACCACUUUGCAAAACUUUGCCAAAAAAAAAAGUCCAAUCUCACAACCAGGAUAUUGACUUUGAUACAGUCACCGAUCUUAUUCAGUUUUGCCGUUUUACUCGUCUUCCUUUGCAUGUAUUAGUUUUACACAAUGUAAUCAUCUGUGUACCUUCCCGUAUCCACCCCCACCUGGCCACUCCUGUGGCGAUUUUACAGCCGCACCCCGGAGCCCUGGCAUCACUAAUCUUUCCUCUAUUUCUAAAAUUGUUUUAUUUCAGAAAUGUUAUGUUUAGAUACAGGAAUCAUACAGCGCCUAAUUUUUUGAAAUUGGCUUUCUUCACUCGUUAGUCUAAUUCCCUGCAGGUUCACGUCUUGCUUUUUUACACGAGUUUCCUCUCAGAAAGUAACUUUUUUUAAAAAAUUACCCAACAGCAAAUCUAAAGUCCAUUUCAAAUGCAAGAGUUCCCUCAUCCUUUCCUAAAUAACAGCCUCUUUUUACAGGUAGAACAGAUGGUUUGAAAAGGAAAGAUUUUUUUUUCACAUAUGGGGAAAAAAAAUUCCCAGCCUUGGAAGGAUAUUUGGGUUAGAGGCCGAAGUGCAUCACAGAUCACGCACGCGUCCACACCUCAGAAAACACUCACUCAUUCCUGAGACGCAACGGUGAGUGAAGGCUUAUUUUUGGCCACAGGAGAUUAAUAAUGAAGACAGGAGGGCGGAGCUAAAGGAGAGGGUAUUUUAACGACAUUAACUGUGUUUUUGUGUUAGUAACUCGGAAAGAGAGAGGCUGCCCCAAGUCAGCGCAUUGAAAGCCGCAGACCUAGUGUCUCCAGGCUCCCCCUUCCAAACGGGCGCGGACCUUCUUUCAUAGCCUGUAGCGGGGAGCCGCGUCUCCCCACUGCCUCCCCACUCCCAUCCGGCCGCUCUUUGGAGGGAACUCACACAUCCCAACAUGACGAUGCUUGCUCGGGGGGCCUCCUGGGGGGACCAGGGAGCCACUUCCUUUCCCACAUACUCCGGAAAUUAAAGUUGGUCUCCUUAAGGCUGGAGUGGCAAAUAGUUGUUUUAAGCUUGUCACAAAUGUAACUUACAUUUGGACUAAUGUUUUAAAAAAUAAUUGGAGUUUUGAAUCUACGAAGAUACCUUGGAAGUAAACAUAGUUAUUAUUUUGGUGGGAAAAAAAUGAAUGGACUUGAAAGUGAGUCACCUGUCCUGUUCCCGGGGCUCAGCUCUAGCAAAGUACCUUUCUCCAUCUACAGUCUCCGGCACACAGCUCCGCAGCUGGGGGUGACUAAGAGCCCACACCACGCAAGUAAUAAAACGCUCCAAUUUCAUUUAUUUAAUCAUCUGUGUGCUUCAUUUGACAAAUAUUUAUGGAGUGUCUGCUGCUAGCUCAGUGCCUGGUGCCUGGGACUGAAGACCAGAGCCCCCUGGAGACCAAAAGAGCCAGCUCCCAGCUGUGAGCAGAUCGGGUCCAAAGAUCACGGGCUCGGCGGCAGGAACCUGGUUUGGUAUCCGGCUCCUCUGCGGACUUUGAAGUGCUUUACCGAUUCACAUGACAACUGGUAAAACGAAAACAAACACCUUUCCAGGAAUUGUGAAUUCGAGUUCCAGACCCUCUGGGAUUCCGGGAGCGCAGCUGCUAUUUAUGUUAACAGUCAUUGGUCCCAGGCUGGUGAGGUUAGAAUUUCCAAGUAUAAAAGUAAUUUAGUUUCGUUUUAAAUACAUUUUAGGGCCAAAGAAAAGUGGAACGAUUUAAAGAAAAAGAUGAAAUGAAUAAUAGGGCAAGUUGGGAGGUGGCUGUCCUGAGGUUUCAUGGGACAACAUUAAUUAACCUCAUGAAGUGCCUGCAUGGACAACGUGCCCGGUGUGGUUACAAACAAACCAAUCAGCACAGAUCCUGGGUGGAAAGCAGGGCGCAGCCACGGAGGCACAGUAGGGGUGCAGACUUGAAGGUUUUUAGGAGGUAAGCCCCGAGGGCACGAAGCUCCACGGAGAGACUGUUGACCCGCCUGGGAGUGCAGUGCAGUCACAGCAACCUCCAAAAACCCAACUUUGCAAAGAUAUGGCAUCGUCAGAAGAAAUGGGGUGCAAUCUAAUGUUGACAGUGUGGAUGAGAGUGGGACACCUGCCAGUUGUUUGCAUCAGCAGACACUCAGAGUCCAUGGAAAAAAUGAGCCUAGAGGUUUUUAAACCACAACACAAGCAAAAGGCACCUGGUCCCGUUCCUCUUAAGACAGAAGAAAGAGGCGUAAAACCAGCUCCAGGUGCCACCCUUAAGAAAUGUUACAGUGCCGGAUGGGAAGAGUAAACCCUGAACAUCUCUUCUUAAUACUUUACAGACUUCAAGUGUAUUUUAUGGUGACAAAGCAUAUUGAAGACAAAUGAAACUCUACAACCCUGAAAACCAGCCUGAAUUAUUUUGAGAGACAGACAGUGGCUGCAAGGAGAAGCGUCGGGAUUUUCUGGGCUGGCCAUCUCCAGUGUCACUGACCCCGGUCUACCCCUGCAUGUUUGUUUACGGGAAAGGAGUUGAGGAGGAGGAUGUAUGGCUGAGAGCCUGAAAAUAAUCCAGGGCAGGUGGAGCGAGGAGAGGACUUUACUCCUCACACUCAUGUAGGCAUCCUGAAAAGCCACUUUUCUUUCCAAGGUGGGCACGGGCCUUGAGCUUGGAGUGGAGCCAGUUAAAGUUGUCCGCUCUGGGUCGUCAGAUGGAGAUCUUAUCUUGGGUCAUGAAUUGUGGUUUUAGGAGAAAGGCAGAAGCUAAACCCAUCUUCUGUCUGGUGGGGAGGCCCAGCAAAGGGCUCAGAAACACAGCCACAGGCCUCUUGCAGCAGCUGGAUGCACAUUUCAGGAGGUUGCCUGAAAGCAGAAUUGACUUCAGAGAGUAGGGCAGCAGAGCCCAGCCACAGAGUGGUCCCAGGAGCCAGGAAGUGCCACACAGCCCCUCGCUUAUUUUUACUCAGUAUGCCACAGAAGUCCUGACCUGUUAAAAGUGCCCUUUAAGAAUGGCUGGCCCACCCUCUCUCAGAGGGUUCAUGCUGGGGAGAGGGUUCCUGCAUGCCCGCUAAGCUCCAAAUGACAACCCAGGUGUAGAAAGGGCUUAGACUUUAGGGUUCAAACCCAUCCUAGAGUCCGGUCCAAGGCCAGUUACAGCCAAUGGGCAGUGGUAGGUGCAGCCCAGCCCAUUAGCUCAUUCUUGAGCCUCAGAGGGACAGAGCAGCACUAAUGGGUGCACAAAUGGCUAGAAUGUUCACCAACUCCUCGAGAGUGGCAUUGGACAUUUGGGCAAGGGUCUUAUGGAGGCUGAGAGUUGACUGUGGGCUCAUCACAGCUAUUUUGAGGGUCUUGACAGCCCAACUAGCAAACAAUUCUGCAGGGAUGAGAGGUCAGGGCAAAGGGAAAUGGCAUUGUCAAGUGGACAGCCAAAAAGUCCAGGAUGCCCCCAGGUCCUGGGGAACGGCGGGGGAGGAACUCAGGGACUGGAUUACCCACAGGACCUGGUGAGACCCACAGCCACGGGCUGACUUGUGUCCACUCAGAAGCGUAUGUUAAAAUCCUAACCCCCAGUACUUUGGAAUGUGACCUUAUUUGGAAAUAGAGACUUUGAAGAUGAUCAAGUUAAGAUGAAGUCAUGGGGCCGAGAGCGGUGGCUCACGCCCGUAAUCGCAGCACUUCGGGAGGCUGAGGCGGGCAGAUCACGAGGUCAGGAGAUCGAGAUCAUACUGGCUAACACGGUGAAACCCCUUCUCUACUAAAAAUACAAAAAAAAAAAAAUUAGCCGGGCAUGGUGGCGGGCACCUGUAGUCCCAGCUACUCAGGAGGCUGAGGCAGGAGAAUGGCAUGAACCCUGGAGGUGGAGCUUGCAGUGAGCCGAGAUCGUGCCACUGCACUCCAGCCUGGGAGACAGAGCGAGACUCCAUCUCAAAUAAAUAAAUAAAUAAAUAAAGAUGAAGUCAUUAGGGUAGACCCUAAAGCAACAGAGCUAGUGUCCUUGUAAAGAGGGGAAGUCUGGACACAGACACACACCUGCACUAAGGGAAGUGGGUGGGAAACACUGGGAAGAUGCCACAUGACUGCAGUGACGCAGCUGCACGCCAAGUGAUGCCUGGGGCACUGGAAGCCGGGGAGGGUUCCUGCCUGGCCCCUAAGCUCCAAAUGACAACCCAGGCAUAGGAAGGGCCUACACUUUGGGGUUCAAACCUAUCCUGGAGUCUGGUCCGGGGCCAGUUACAGCUAAUGGGCAGUGCUGGGUGCAGCCCAGCCCGUAAGCUCAUUCUUGAGCCCCAGAGGGACAGAGCAGCUCUAAUGGGUGCAAAAAUGGCUGGAAUAUUUCACCAACUCCUUGGGUGGGUGGGUGGGGGGGGGGCAUUGGACAUUUUGGGCAAGGGUCUUCUUGAGGCUGAGAGAGGCCAGGAAGGAGCUUCCCCUGGAGUUGUCUGGGAGUGGGACCCUGCUGACACCGACCUCAACUUUUGACUUCUGGCCUCUAGAGCUGUGAGAGACUAAACACCUGUGGUUUUAAGCCACCUGGUUUGUGUCACUUUGCUGUGGCAGCCACUAGAAACUAAUACACCCAACUAGAUACGUAUCUUUGUCACAGUUACAGGAAUCUUUAUUUUAUCCAAAAGCAAAAGACACUGAACUUUUGUGUACAUUCCAGGCCUGCUGAUUGUAGCUGGUCUAUAAGCUCGUGUCGGAGUCUAUGGUGGUUGAUUUUUGUGUCCCUUUGACUGAGCCACGAGGUAUUUGAUCAAACAUUAUUCCAGGUGUUUCUGUGAGGCUGCUUUUGGAUGAGAUUAACAUGUAAAUCAAUAGAGUCAAGCAAAUCGUUCUCCCCAAUGCAGAUGGGUUUCGUCCAUGCAGCUAGAGGCCUGAAAAGAAGGAAAAGCUGAUCAUCCUCGUGUAAGAGAGAAUCUCUCCUACCCAACGGCCUUCCAGCUGGGAUACUGGCUUUUUCUUGCCUUUAGACUUGAACUGAACAAUUGGCUCUUCCUGGCCUCAGGCUUUGGGACUCAGAAGCACACAUUGACUGUCCUGGGGCUCCAGCUUAUGGACUACCCUGCAGAAAGACUGUGGGACUCGUCAGCCAUCAUCAUCCUGUGAGCCAGUUUUACACAGACACACACACACACAGUCGCACUCUCAUGCUCACACAUACACACUCACACACAAUCACACACUUGCACACACACAGACACUCUUACACACUCAUUCACACACUCACAUGUGCACACACACAGUCUCUCACACACAUCACACACACACACACACACACACACACACACACACACUAUUGGUUCUGUUUCUCUGUAUAACCCUGAUGAAUUCAGGAUCUUAAAGGUUACCUAUUUCAUUGUAAUGCUGUUUUCUAGCACCAGGCUAGUCCUUUUGUCGGCAGAACUGGUAGGCUCACUUUUUUUUUUUUCAGACUGUUUUGUGUUUUAUUUUCUUCCAUUUACAAAAAAGCAUUUCUAAGCCAGGGCAGUGAAGCCUGACGCUACCGUUCACGGUCAGUGAAAUGAGCAUUCGAGGAUGGGACUCAGCCUGUCUGGACAGGUCCCCAGACAAAAAACACAGAGAAUCAAGAACGCAGGCGCUCCCUGUCGGACGCCAGGCCGGGCCCUGUGACAAGGAUCUCAGCGCUGGCGGUGGGGCUGCCCUGCGGGUUCGAGGCCUGGCUCUUCCUGCCCCACUGCCUGGUGUGUAGCCCAGGGGCCGGGCCGCCUGCGCCCCCCGCCGGGGGGCACGCCCGGCCCAGGGUUGGGGGUGUCCGGCUUGCCCCCAGGGGGCCAGCGGGGCCUCUGUUAUCUCGCUCCAGAACCGACAUCGCCAGCCAAGACCUUCCUCGUGGAGCCCUCGGUCUGGCCAAGGACGCUCCUUGGAGUCUGCUUAGACGCACAGCGGGCUCAGCUUUGCCAAAUUCUCCAAGGAGACUUUCCAUGAGGCGCCUCCUGCCAUCUGUGGGCGGCGUUGGGAACUGCGGCCACCGCUGCUUGGGAAUCAGGACGUCCCAGCUCCCAACCGGCGGUCAUUCAUUCCCUCAACACACACUCUGGGCCGCCCGCCUGGCUCCAGGCAGGCCCUCCGGGGACUCGGGAAAUAGGAGUUGUUAAACAUUUCUGAAACAUUCCUCUUCCAUUUAUUCUGUGAUUUUCUUCAGAAACACAAGGCGUGCACGAGUCAGCUUAUCAGCUUAUCCUUCACCCACACGUAGGCUCUUCUUUCCAAUCAAUUUUAUCUUUGUUUUUUUCUAAGAAAAUUUUAGGGAUUUUACUUGUUUUUGUUUUGUUUUUGGGUUUUUUUGUGUGUUUUGUUGUUGUUAUUUUGUUUUUUUUUUUUUUUGGUGGGGGGUUGGCUUGGUUUGGUUUUUGCUUCAUUUUUUAAUUUUAGGGAUUUUUAAAAAGCCAGCAUUCCUUAAUCUUCUGAUUGUUGUGUGACUGUUGUAUAAUAUUGAGAAAUACAUUCCUGUCAUCCACAACUAACAACCAUUAAUAAUGUGUCGUAUUGUUUACUUUUUUGUUUUUAACUAAAUUUUGCUUUGGGGAAGUAUCCAUGACGAUACAAUAUAGCUGUGAGAUAUUUCCUGUACCUGCUACGUAACACCCCUUCAUGUAAAACGCAGAGCAUUUGGUUUAUCCACAUCCCCCCGCCCCCCGCCCAUGCAUAUUAGUGGUUUCCAGUGCUAAAGGGACAGCGCCCCCCACGUGCAUUUCUCCAGGUACUGAGGCAGGAGAAUAGGGGCUGGAGGCAGGGGACCAAAGGCUGUUUCACUCAGACUUCCUACAACUAAAUUGAAAGGAAAACCCUAACUUUCCACUCCUAAGUAACAAAAGGACCAGAGGCUAUUCCCUUUCUAAACCCCCCCACCUUUUCCUCGAGGCAAAUGGGAAAUUGGCUGUCCGCAACCAAUCAGACUGAUUGUGGGUGGAGUCUUCGUUUGCACCUCUGUACCUUCGCUCCAGUCUCUGAACGGUUGCUGUCCACAACGAAUCAGACUGAUUGCGGGCUCAGCCUUCGUUUGCAUAGAAGUAUAACUUUGUAACUUCACCCUAGCCUCUGACUGGUUGCUUUUGGCACCUUCAUUUACAUGAGGUGAGCAUGAUGUGGCCAAUUGGAAACUUCUAGGGGAUAUUUGGACCCAAGAAGAUCCUGUAUCCAGGCCCUUGAGCCGCUGCUCGGGUCCGCUCCCAUACUGUGGAGUGUACUUUGGUUUUCAAUAAAUUCCUGCUUUCGUUCUUUUGCUGCUUCAUUCUUUCUUUGCUUUGUUGGGCGUUUUGUCCAAUUCUUUGUUCAAAAUGCCAAGAACCUGGACAAGUUGCAGUUAUGACCCUCGACCGGUGAUAGUAGCACUCGCUCCUAACAGCUUGGCUGCAGUAAGCCUAGGCUUCCAGGGAGAGCCUCUGCACCUGCUGCUGUGCUGCUUGAGUUCUCUCAGACAAGGAAGCAUGAAAAGGGCUGCCUUUUUCAAACAGCAGGGGAAGGAAAACACAGUGAUAACAAAUCCAAAUAUUAUUUCAAUUGAGAUCUUAUCAUAU
rnacentral:lncRNA from 1 species